UCAAUAAAGGAAAGGAAAAAAUGCAUUGUAAUGUUUUUCUGGGGAAGUGUGUGGAAUCUGUCUCUAAGAAGUUGUUGAUUUGUGUUGUUUUAAGGAAAGUCAUGAAGAUGCCAGUCAGAGAGAAGAUUGGGGAGCAGAACCUCUCUCACAGGCUCAGGAAAGUGAAGAUGUCACCCAAAGAGAAGAACAGAGAGCAGAGCCUUUCACAUUAGCACAGAACAAUGAAGAUGCCACCCAAAGAGAAGAGCAGAGCACAGAGCCUAUCACAUUAACACAGGAAAGUGAUGAAGAUGCCAGCCAGAGAGAAGAGCAGAGAGGAGAACCUGUCCCACUGGCACAGGAUAAUGAAGAUGCCACACAGAGAGCGGAGCAUUUCACAUUAACACAGGAAAGUGAUGAAGAUGCCAGCCAGAGAGAAGAGCAGAGAGGAGA